CCCAACUCAGAAUUGUACCUGGAGAGUUUUCAGUACUCUACCAGUCUCGGCUACCAGUUGGACGGUUAAGCAGCGGCAUACCCAUUCCAUUCCUAGCUUGGGCAGUGGCUAGCGGGUGGAAGGCAAUCUGCUGCAAGU